CCUACGGGUGGCAGCAGUGGGGAAUAUUGCGCAAUGGGCGAAAGCCUGACGCAGCGACGCCGCGUGAGUGAUGAAGGUCUUCGGAUCGUAAACUUCUGUCAGCAGGGAAGAACGGUUACUGUGCUAAUCAGCAGUGAAUUGACGGUACCUGCAAAGGAAGCACCGGCUAACUCCGUGCCAGCAGCCGCGGUAAUACGGAGGGUGCGAGCGUUAAUCGGAAUUACUGGGCGUAAAGCGCUCGUAGGCGGUAUGUCAAGUCAAGUGUGAAAUCCCCGCGCUCAACGUGGGAACUGCCUUUGAUACUGGCAAGCUGGAGUGUUGGAGAGGAGAGUAGAAUUCCAGGUGUAGGAGUGAAAUGCGUAGAGAUGUGGAGGAACAUCAGUGGCGAAGGCGACUAUCUGGCACAUGACUGACGCUGAGGAGCGAAAGCGUGGGUAGCAAACAGGAUUAGAUACCCUUGUAGUC
rnacentral:rRNA from 1 species